rnacentral:tRNA from 1 species
GGGGCUGUAGCUCAGCUGGGAGAGCGCUUGUCUGGCAGACAAGAGGUCGACGGUUCGAUCCCGUUCAGCUCCACCA